rnacentral:tRNA from 1 species
GCAACAGCAAAUUCCGGAAUUAAGCGAGCUCUUCUAAAAAUUCCGUUUCUUUCUUGUUAACAAAAAGCGCAAUAAAAAAGCAGACCACUGAUGGUCUGCUUACAAUUUAUAUUGAGAAAUUUUUAUGGCGGAAGCGGUGGGAUUCGAACCCACGCACCGUAGAACGAUCUAACACCUUAGCAGGGUGUCCUCUUAACCACUUGAGUACGCUCCCAGGAA